rnacentral:rRNA from 1 species
GACGAACCGUGCGAGCGUUAUUCGGAAUCACUGGGCUUAAAGCGCGUGUAGGCGGGCCGCCACGUCGGCUGCUGAAAUCCCCCGGCUCAACCGGGGAAGUGGCACCGAUACGAGCGGCCUCGAGGGGGGUAGGGGGGCCUGGAACUUCCGGUGGAGCGGUGAAAUGCGUUGAGAUCGGAAGGAACGCCCGUGGCGAAAGCGAGGCCCUGGACCCUUACUGACGCUGAGACGCGAAAGCCAGGGGAGCGAACGGG